AUCAGGUCGCUCAUUUUCUGUUCCUUUAUUCUCUGCAUAUAUGUCCCAAGCUGUAAGGAGCUCUGCAGGAUAGGAGCCUUGCACAAAGUGAGCCGAGUGCAGGCUGAUGAAGCCACUAGUUUUAUUCUUAACUCCUUCACUUAAUAAACUGAGCUCCUUAGAGAUGAUAAUUUCUGGAAGAAUUUCUGCAAAGCUUUUUUGACCUUCUUUAUUAACUUUCUGAUUUCCCUCAAUGGGUAUAAC